rnacentral:rRNA from 1 species
UACGUAGGGGGCAAGCGUUGUCCGGAAUCAUUGGGCGUAAAGGGCGCGUAGGUGGCGGCUUAAGCGUGCGGUGAAAGCUCGGGGCUCAACCCCGAGUCGGCCGUGCGAACUGAGUCGCUUGAGCACUGUAGAGGCAGGCGGAAUUCCGGGUGUAGCGGUGGAAUGCGUAGAGAUCCGGAAGAACACCGGUGGCGAAGGCGGCCUGCUGGGCAGUAGCUGACACUGAGGCGCGACAGCGUGGGGAGCAAACAGG